rnacentral:rRNA from 1 species
GUCUAUGGCCAUGCUACCCUGAAUAAGCCCAAUCCUGUCUGAUCUCGGAAGCUAAGCAGGGUCAGGCCUGGUUAGUACUUGGAUGGGAGACCGCCUAGGAAAACCAGGUGCUGUAGGCU